GAUGAACGCUGGCGGCGUGCCUAACACAUGCAAGUCGAGCGAACCCUUCGGGGUGAGCGGCGGACGGGUGAGUAACGCGUGGGUAACCUGCCCUAUACACACGGAUAACGUACCGAAAGGUACGCUAAUACGGGAUAAAGUUGUUGGAUGGCAUCUUCUAACAAUCAAAGCUCCGGCGGUAUAGGAUGGGCCCGCGUCUGAUUAGCUAGUUGGUGAGGUAAUGGCUCACCAAGGCGACGAUCAGUAGCCGACCUGAGAGGGUGAUCGGCCACACUGGAACUGAGACACGGUCCAGACUCCUACGGGAGGCAGCAGUGGGGAAUAUUGCACAAUGGGCGAAAGCCUGAUGCAGCAACGCCGCGUGAGCGAUGAAGGUCUUCGGAUCGUAAAGCUCUGUCCUCAAGGAAGAUAAUGACGGUACUUGAGGAGGAAGCCCCGGCUAACUACGUGCCAGCCGCCGCCGUAA
rnacentral:rRNA from 1 species